CCUACGGGAGGCAGCAGUGGGGAAUAUUGCACAAUGGGGGAAACCCUGAUGCAGCGACGCAGCGUGAGGGAAGAAGGAAUUCGGUAUGUAAAGCUCUAUCAGCAGGGAAGAAAAUGACGGUACCUGAGUAAGAAGCACCGGCUAACUACGUGCCAGCAGCCGCGGUAAUACGUAGGGGGCAAGCGUUAUCCGGAUUUACUGGGAGGAAAGGGAGCGUAGACGGCAGUGCAAGUCUGGAGGGAAAGGCGGGGGCUCAACCCCCGGACUGCUCUGGAAACUGUACGGCUGGAGUGCAGGAGAGGUAAGUGGAAUUCCUAGUGUAGCGGUGAAAUGCGUAGAUAUUAGGAGGAACACCAGUGGUGAAGGCGGCUUACUGGACUGUAACUGACGUUGAGGCUCGAAAGCGUGGGGAGCAAACAGGAUUAGAUACCCUAGUAGUC
rnacentral:rRNA from 1 species